rnacentral:tRNA from 1 species
AGGAGCGUAGUUCAAUUGGUAGAGCACCGGCCUCCAAAGCCGGGAGUUGAGGGUUCGAGUCCUUCCGCUCCUGCAA